CAGCAGCCACGGUAAUACAGAGGGUGCGAGCGUUAAUCGGAUUUACUGGGCGUAAAGCGUGCGUAGGCGGCUUUUUAAGUCGGAUGUGAAAUCCCUGAGCUUAACUUAGGAAUUGCAUUCGAUACUGGGAAGCUAGAGUAUGGGAGAGGAUGGUAGAAUUCCAGGUGUAGCGGUGAAAUGCGUAGAGAUCUGGAGGAAUACCGAUGGCGAAGGCAGCCAUCUGGCCUAAUACUGACGCUGAGGUACGAAAGCAUGGGGAGCAAACAGGAUUAGAGACCCCCGUAGUCCCUGUCUCUUAUCC
rnacentral:rRNA from 1 species